UGAAAAGAGGAGUGUCUGGAUCCUCUUAAAACGUCGGGAAGGGCGAGGUUUCACCAAAGUACAGUGGCAGGAAACGAGCGGGUUCCGCAGAAGUAAUCCACUGCAGUCCACAGUAGCAGUUCGAGUUCCUUUGCAUACGCGCCCAUCGAAAUAUUCCGCUGGGCUCUGACUCCUGGUAAGAGCGCGGCCUCCACCCAGCGCCGCGGCCUCGGGCUUUGGGCCUCAGCGGUCAGACAAUGUGGAAGGUUGCGACUGCGGUUUUCCUUCUCUGCGCGGUUUCCGUGUGCAAGUCUUCAAACAGUACAACAUUUUAUCGAUUGGAGGGCAAUAGUGUAUCUAUUUCUUUCAAAAGAUCUCCACAUCUAGAAGAAAUUUUAUGCACGUUUAGAGACAACAAGGUUCUUGAAUGGGAAGCUGGCAAAAAUGUAUUGUAUUUUGGAAAUUUUACUGGAAGAACUAAGCUAACAGCGGAUACCAUAGAGAUCCAGAAUUUACAACAGAUUGAUUCAGGGAUUUACAGAAUUUCUUUCAUAAAUCAGGAUGGUUUCACUACUGAAGAAAGUUUCACACUCAUUGUAAGCGCACCACUUUUGCAACCAACAAUUAACUGUACUGCAAAUGGCACAAGUAUUCACCUGGAAUGCAAUUUCGAAGACAGUCUAUCAGCUACAAUUCAAUGGCUACAUCAAGGCAAGGCUGUAGGGCAAGAUGAUAAUUUUGAUUUAACUCCUGAAAACAAAAGGUUAACAAUAUUAAACACUAAAGAAUCUUCUGGUGAAUAUACCUGCAUUGUGAAAAAACAUGAAGAUCGGGCUCAGAGUGACCCCAUUAAUAUAGAAAAAUGCUAUAGUAGAGGAAAUAGUCGAGGGCAUCUCGCUCUGAUUGCACUUGCAGUGGUUUUUGUAGCCGGCAUCAUGAUUGCUGCUUUCGCUUUCUACUGGUAUAAGAGAAAAAAUGGGAAUGUGCAAAAUACCGUUCGUAGAUACGAAGUAACGAAGGUAGAAGAUUGAAACAUUGAAUUGCCAGAAGGAGAUGGAGUAGAAACAAAGUCUUCACCAUCAAGUGUGUGAACCUAAAGUCAGAAAAGAUAUUUGACGUUCCAAAGGUUGAAAAGAGAAGAUCAUGUUUUGCACUUAAUCUUGAGCAGCACAAAGAGAAUGCCUAAUUGGGAGAAAGGAUCUCUUGAAGAUUUUAACAUUGAAAAGAUUUUAAUCAACAGUUCUGCAAAAGAACACUUCAGGCCAAAUAUUCACCUUUUUGUAUUGCACAGAUGCUGCUUGAACUUGUGCUUCUGGGAUAUUUUUAUUCUAGCAGCCGUCAUGUGAUGCCACUUGACAGUGGUACUCUGUUAAUUACACUUGCUGUAUAUUUCUAACUGCUAUAACAAGAGCUAAAGGUAUGUGCAGGCUUGAAUGCUAAUGAUGUAUUAUUGAAAGAACAAAUAUUUAAUUUCAGUGCAAACAACAGGAAUUCUGCAGAUGCUGGAAAUUCAAGCAACAUACAUCAAAGUUGCUGGUGAACGCAGCAGGCCAAGCAGCAUCUGUAGGAAGAGGUACAGUCGAUGUUUCAGGCCAAGCAAGUUUGUUCUCCUUCAUGAAAUAACAUUAAUUUCAGAUAUUGUUAAAGUUUUUUUUAUCCACAGAUGCUCACUGUGCUUCUAAAUUAUUUAAGUUUAAAAGUCAGAAAUUUAACACUCAAGAUGUAUUGCUCAAUUGUCUAGAGUUGUGGUAAUUUUAGAUUUCUGGCUGUGCCAAUGUGGCUUGUUUCAACUUAUAAUUGUGUAGUAAUCAAGAUAAACUGCAUUUUACAUGGUUUUUUAAAAAUGCAUCUUGUAUGAAUAUGUAGCUUGAUUGUGUGUGUGUUUUUUUAUUAUUUUCAAUGUCCACUGAAUAGAGUAGCUUCACUUGUCUUAGUACUUAAGAUCUUUUCUUAAAAUAAAAAGGUGAAAAUGCACAAGGGAUUCAUAGAAUUAAGAGCAUAUGGCACAGCUUAUCGAGCUGCAGCUACAUUGUUCUAGCAACCUGUCAUCAGUUUUGACCUCCAGUGCCAUCUCUAGGGAGUUUGCAUAUUCUCUCUGUGACCGUGGGUUCACUUCCGUGUCCCACAAGUGAGAGUUCAGAGGCAAUUGAAUAUUGUAAAUUGCCUUUGGUGUGUUGGUGACUGGGACAUGCUGAAGGGAACAUGGGAAGAAAAUGUUACAGGAAAUUGAGGUUGUACUGAGAGCUGGCAUAGAUUUCAUUGGCUGAGCUAAUGGCCUUGCAUUGAUUUAUUUUAAAGAGAAAACUAGACAGGCUAUUUGCAAUGAUUGUUUAAAAUAUUUUUAAAUUGAAAUCAAAAAUUAUACAAACAUUGAAUAGAGAUUGGAGCUCAAACAGUAAUGAAUAUCUUUGUUUACAUAUGCAGAUGAUAAAAAUAAUCCAAAGGAAGUGAUUAAAGCAAACUGAGUAAUUAUAGAAAAUUGCCAAUCUGCGUUGUGCACUUCCAUAUACUGUUACCUACUCCUAACUCACACUGCCAGGAAUUUAAAGUUCAGGGUGGAAUUGGGAUGACCACAGAUUGUGUAAAAGGGAAAAUCUGAAGAAUUUGACAGGUGUUGAAGAAAAUGGAAAGGUUGACGCAUACUUUUAUGACAAUGAGAAAAAUCUUAACUCCUUUGCAAUCAUUGUCAACAUGACCCAAUGACAUGAAAUAAAACUAUGAAAAGCAGCUGAUAAUUUAUGAUGCAGAAAAUAAGUUGCUAUGGGAGUUUUAUAAAAUGCUGAGGAACAGAAAGUCCUAGGAGUCUAAAUCCAUUGUUUUCUUAAAGUGUCUACAUAUUAAAAGGAUGAUGAAGGGAUAGGUGUUUAGGGUUUUGGCAUAGAAUGCAAAGGCUGGAACAUUAUGUUGCCACUCUACAACUCACUGGUUGGGCUGCAUUUAGAGUAUUGCAAUAAAUCAAAUGGGCUGGACUUAUACAUUUAACUGGUCAUCACUUGGCCUGCUGGUCUGGGUUGAGGGAAUAUAGAUGUAUAAGAUAAAAGGCAAAAAUAGGAUAGAUGGCAGGGAUAUCAAAAACAAGAAGGCUGAGGUUUGAGGUAAGAGGAAGGAGUUUUAAAGAGAAUUUGAGAGAGAUUUUUUUAAACCGAUGAUGUCUUCAACUCACUGCCAGAGAAGGUAGUGGAGUCAGAUAGACCCCCUGUGUUUCAGGGUCAUUUAGAAAUACACCUAAAUAGGCAAGGUAUGGGAUAUAGUCCCAAUUCAGGCAAAUGGAAUUGGUCUAAAUGGGUAAAAAGAUGAUUAUGUACAUGGUGAGCAAAAACAGCUUGUUGCUGUACUGUAUGACUUGUUUUAUCUUGUAGCCUUGGUGGGAUAAUAUUAAAUAAAUACCUUGUGCUUGCCAAUCUUGGUUUCUUUUAUUACAGCUUGUUAGUUACUGACCCCUUCGACCCACCUAUCAAAACCUAUAAAGGCAGGCAAUAGUUUAUCUGAUUGGUUAAAUGACUCCGAAUUCAGCACAAGAUGGCAGAAUAAGCAAUGGUAACAAGAUAAACAGGGUUGUAAUCUCACAAUUCCUUCUCAUGUCAAAAUGCUAGUAAGGGUAAAGAAUGAGAGGAUGGGGAAAUGAACGGAAUGCAUAAGAGCUAGUGCAGGCACGAGUGACUUAAGAUUCCUGGUCCAUUAGCAUUGCUUCUAGGGCAUAGGUGACCAGUAAAAGAGGGACAAGGUUGUACCUAA